UAGUCCAUGCCGUAAACGUUGGGCACUAGGUGUGGGGGACAUUCCACGUUUUCCGCGCCGUAGCUAACGCAUUAAGUGCCCCGCCUGGGGAGUACGGCCGCAAGGCUAAAACUCAAAGGAAUUGACGGGGGCCCGCACAAGCGGCGGAGCAUGCGGAUUAAUUCGAUGCAACGCGAAGAACCUUACCAAGGCUUGACAUACACCAGACCGGCCCAGAGAUGGGUUUUCCUCUUUGAGGUUGGUGUACAGGUGGUGCAUGGUUGUCGUCAGCUCGUGUCGUGAGAUGUUGGGUUAAGUCCCGCAACGAGCGCAACCCUCGUUCUAUGUUGCCAGCACGUGAUGGUGGGGACUCAUAGGAGACUGCCGGGGUCAACUCGGAGGAAGGUGGGGAUGACGUCAAAUCAUCAUGCCCCUUAUGUCUUGGGGCUUCACGCAUGCUACAAUGGCCGGUACAAUGGGGUUG
rnacentral:rRNA from 1 species